AUGACGUCAUUUCAAAAAAAGAAAAAAGAAUUCAGACUGGAUUACCUCGCUGAAUCCUUUUUGGCAGGGACUUGUUUUCUGAUUGUCCCAAAUAAGUGGCUUUCUCCCGAGCCCAUUUUAAUUUUUUUUGGAGAAACUCACUUGCGAUUUGUCAACAUGUUGUGUAGCACUUUCGAUCCCAAUCUUGCAGGCCUGCUUCAAAAAGAGGAAAUUUGUCAGGGUCCUGGGUCUCCUGACCCAGCGUGUUUAGUUCUUCAAGGUUUUUGUAUUAUUCUACUUGUGAGUUGUUUUAUGGUUUCUAGUUUUGAUCCCUUGCCCUUCAUGUUUCUGUGUCCCCUCAGUUCUGUUUAUCUGCUGCACAUGACAACUUGGAUCCAACCUCAGAACAUAAAGAGCCCAAACGCAGCAGGACCAAACCUACUCUGCAUUAUUAAAGACCAAAAUCUAAAAAGUAAAAAUUUUCCCCUGAUUAAAAAUUUGGUUGAUCUACUCUGUGAGGCUAUCUUCUCUUUCAUAUCUGUUUAGUUUUGAUGUUUUGAGCAUAUUUCUGAGAUUUGAUGAUCAUCUCCCAUAUAAUUUGCGUCAAUAUGUUUUAUUGUUGUUCUUUAUUGCUGAGCAUUAUUCAAAUGCACAUCUGUAUCAGAAUAAUUAACAAGGAGACUUUGGAGGAAGUUCAUAUUUUCUCCACCUAAUCAAGCAGCAGCCAUGUGCUGUCGUCCCCCCCCCACAUCAAAUGUAACUUUAAGAGGUCAUGCACAUUUGGUUUUGCUUUAUGUAUUUUUGUUUACUGUAUGAUUUAGAAAUUUAAGUGCUUACUUAUGCAAUGUAUUUAAAACUACUGGCUUUUGUUACAAGGUACAAAAAAAUAAACAUCUUUUAAAAAUGCAAAAUAUUGCAAUGUAUCCUUAAAUGAAUUAGAAACAUAAAGAGUGCUCUAAAAUAAUGAGUCUGUGUCAGUAUUCAGGACUUCCAACUUUUCAGUCUGUCUACAUUGUCUCUAAACAAGCCUAAAAAAAUAAUAAUGAUAAAUUUAAAAAAGUCUAAUGAGUCUACAAUACUUUUGCUUAUUAGUUGAAACAGGGCUCCACCUUGUGACAAAAAUAGAACAUUUCUUCAGCUGUGAAUAUUUUAAAACAUGAAAUAUGUUCAGAGUAAAUUAAAGUGUGGGGUUUUCUUUAUGGUUGCUUCUAUUGCAGUGGUUGCAGCUGAUUAAAUCUUUGUGUUGGUUUGUAGUUGUUCAGCCAUCAGUGAGGUGUGAGCUGCAUUCCUGACAGCAGCUGUAUUUGUCAGUGUGAGGAAGGUUGGGUCUGCUCUGACUGCUGGAACAGAAGCUUGUUCUGGUCUGAGUCCCAGUUUGAGUUGGACUGUUGAUCAAUAAAGUGUCUUUGCUUACAGUCGAGCACUUUCAUUGUUACACAUGAAGCUUUAAUGUGUUCAGCUAAACUGUGCUACAGAGUAGUUAUAUUUGCUUAUCAUUAUUUGUUAUAUUUAUAGAAAUUAACUUUAUAUUUGUUCAUGGAUACAUGUCAUGGAUUUAAUAUAUUUGAAAUUCAAAUAUUUUGUCCGAAACAGUUUUAUUGCUGUGAAACUGGAGAUACAAUGCAUGCUCCAUCAUACAGGUAGGAAAAUCAAUUCUAUUCAUCUGGACGUAGCGAUUGCUGCGGUUCCCCAACUCUCCGUGAAUGGUUCUCAUGGUCUUUGAUCAGUGGUUGCUGAUUAAUGAUCUUAACAAUUUGCAUGGUAAUGAUCAAGAAACUGACCUUACAGCCCAUUGUUCGCCAGUGGUGCUAGUUUCAGUCAUUAUGCAAAUGUUCUGUUUAUAAGAUUUGGGAAAACUGCAGUCAGCUGAGACUGAAGAAGUCACUUGGAUGAGUGACGAAACGUUCCUCCCACUGAAAAGAAGCUACAUCCAGAUGAACAGAUGAAAUGACUGCUAGUCUGUCAUUGUGCUACGCUGUGUUUAUAAAAUAUAAUAAUAUGAUUUGUGUGUAUAAUCUGUCUGCAGAUUAUUAUGUCUGAGAAACUUUCUGAUUGACAAAUUAGAAAUCUCAUUAGAUCAAAAACAAUCAGUUUUGAGUUUUC
ensembl:lncRNA